AUUGAACGCUGGCGGCAGGCUUAACACAUGCAAGUCGAGCGGGGUGAUGGUGCUUGCACUAUCACUUAGCGGCGGACGGGUGAGUAAUGCUUAGGAAUCUGCCUAUUAGUGGGGACAACAUCUCGAAAGGGAUGCUAAUACCGCAUACGUCCUACGGGAGAAAGCAGGGGGUCACUUGUGACCUUGCGCUAAUAGAUGAGCCUAAGUCGGAGUAGCUAGUUGGUGGGGUAAAGGCCUACCAAGGCGACGAUCUGUAGCGGGUCUGAGAGGAUGAUCCGGCACAAUGGGAAUGAGACACGGCCCAGACUCCUACGGGAGGCAGGAGUGGGGAAUAUUGGACAAUGGGGGGAACCCUGAUCCAGCCAUGCCGCGUGUGUGAAGAAGGCCUUAUGGUUGUAAAGCACUUUAAGCGAGGAGGAGGCUCUUUUGGUUAAUACCCAAGAUGAGUGGACGUUACUCGCAGAAUAAGCACCGGCUAACUCUGUGCCAGCCGCCGCAGUAA
rnacentral:rRNA from 1 species